rnacentral:lncRNA from 1 species
UUACAUCUUACAGUCGCGCUUAAAUUGUCCACCAAACUGCGAAAGCUGCCGUAUCAUGCUGAGCGUGCCUUGCCGUGCCAUCAGUAGCCGCGUUGUUGCAUCCUUGCAUCAGUAACAGGACAAAAAAAUCUAAACACUGCUCACAGACAUAUUAACCUGAGGACCGAAGGCAUUGAUGGGGCUUUUGGGAUGCACCUUUAGUCAUCACAAUGGGAGCCAGAAAUCCCUCCUCAGGCCUCUCAUCAAUGCGGAUCCUCUUUGAUGGAUAGCUAACAUAGGUACGACGCUCUACUUCGGGUUGACGUGCCCUGCGUCCAGUGUGGAUGGACCUCAUUGCCCG